rnacentral:rRNA from 1 species
GACGUGACUUCAGAGUUUGAUCCUGGCUCAGGACGAACGCUGGCGGCGUGCUUAACACAUGCAAGUCGAACGGGGAUCAUUUGGAUGAGAGCUUCGGCAGGAUUCCGAAUGAUUCUAGUGGCGGACGGGUGAGUAACGCGUGAACAAUCUGUCCCAGACAGGGGGAUAACACUUGGAAACAGGUGCUAAUACCGCAUGAGACCACGGGAUCGCAUGGUUCUGAGGUAAAAGGUGCAAACCGGUUUGGGGUGAGUUCGCGUCCGAUUAGAUAGUUGGUGAGGUAACGGCCCACCAAGUCGACGAUCGGUAGCCGACCUGAGAGGGUGAUCGGCCACAUUGGAACUGAGAGACGGUCCAA